rnacentral:rRNA from 1 species
GUCGUAACAAGGUCUCCGUAGGUGAACCUGCGGAGGGAUCAUUACACAAAUAUGAAGGCGGGCUGGAACCUCUCGGGGUUACAGCCUUGCUGAAUUAUUCACCCUUGUCUUUUGCGUACUUCUUGUUUCCUUGGUGGGUUCGCCCACCACUAGGACAAACAUAAACCUUUUGUAAUUGCAAUCAGCGUCAGUAACAAAUUAAUAAUUACAACUUUCAACAACGGAUCUCUUGGUUCUGGCAUCGAUGAAGAACGCAGCGAAAUGCGAUAAGUAGUGUGAAUUGCAGAAUUCAGUGAAUCAUCGAAUCUUUGAACGCACAUUGCGCCCUUUGGUAUUCCAAAGGGCAUGCCUGUUCGAGCGUCAUUUGUACCCUCAAGCUUUGCUUGGUGUUGGGCGUCUUGUCUCUAGCUUUGCUGGAGACUCGCCUUGAAGUAAUUGGCAGCCGGCCUACUGGUUUCGGAGCGCAGCACAAGUCGCACUCUCUAUCAGCAAAGGUCUAGCAUCCAUUAAGCCUUUUUUUCAACUUUUGACCUCGGAUCAGGUAGGGAUACCCGCUGAACUUAAGCAUAUCA